CACGUAGGGUGCGAGCGUUGUCCGGAUUUACUGGGCGUAAAGAGCGCGCAGGCGGUCGUUCAAGUCGCGUGUGAAAGCCCCCGGCUCAACUGGGGAGGGUCACGCGAUACUGAUCGACUCGAAGGCAGGAGAGGGUAGUGGAAUUCCCGGUGUAGUGGUGAAAUGCGUAGAUAUCGGGAGGAACACCAGUGGCGAAGGCGACUACCUGGCCUGUUCUUGACGCUGAGGCGCGAAAGCUAGGGGAGCAAACGGG
rnacentral:rRNA from 1 species